UACGAAGGGGGCUAGCGUUGCUCGGAAUCACUGGGCGUAAAGGGUGCGUAGGCGGGUCUUUAAGUCAGGGGUGAAAUCCUGGGAGCUCAACUCCAGAACUGCCUUUGAUACUGAAGAUCUUGAGUUCGGGAGAGGUGAGUGGAACUGCGAGUGUAGAGGUGAAAUUCGUAGAUAUUCGCAAGAACACCAGUGGCGAAGGCGGCUCACUGGCCCGAUACUGACGCUGAGGCACGAAAGCGUGGGGAGCAA
rnacentral:rRNA from 1 species